AACGCUAGCUACAGGCUUAACGCAUGCAAGUCGAGGGGCAGCAUGGUCUUAGCUUGCUAAGGCUGAUGGCGACCGGCGCACGGGUGAGUAACACGUAUCCAACCUGCCGUCUACUCUUGGCCAGCCUUCUGAAAGGAAGAUUAAUCCAGGAUGGGAUCAUGAGUUCACAUGUCCGCAUGAUUAAAGGUAUUUUCCGGUAGACGAUGGGGAUGCGUUCCAUUAGAUAGUAGGCGGGGUAACGGCCCACCUAGUCAACGAUGGAUAGGGGUUCUGAGAGGAAGGUCCCCCACAUUGGAACUGAGACACGGUCCAAACUCCUACGGGAGGCAGCAGUGAGGAAUAUUGGUCAAUGGGCGAUGGCCUGAACCAGCCAAGUAGCGUGAAGGAUGACUGCCCUAUGGGUUGUAAACUUCUUUUAUAAAGGAAUAAAGUCGGGUAUGCAUACCCGUUUGCAUGUACUUUAUGAAUAAGGAUCGGCUAACUCCGUGCCAGCAGCCGCGGUAAUACGGAGGAUCCGAGCGUUAUCCGGAUUUAUUGGGUUUAAAGGGAGCGUAGAUGGAUGUUUAAGUCAGUUGUGGAAGUUUGCGGCUCAACCGUAAAAUUGCAGUUGAUACUGGAUGUCUUGAGUGCAGUUGAGGCAGGCGGAAUUCGUGGUGUAGCGGUGAAAUGCUUAGAUAUCACGAAGAACUCCGAUUG
rnacentral:rRNA from 1 species